rnacentral:rRNA from 1 species
AUUGAACGCUGGCGGCAGGCCUAACACAUGCAAGUCGAACGAGUGGCGGACGGGUGAGUAAUGUCUGGGAAACUGCCCGAUGGAGGGGGAUAACUACUGGAAACGGUAGCUAAUACCGCAUACCAUCGGAUGUGCCCAGCUGGGAUUAGCUAGUAGGUGGGGUAACGGCUCACCUAGGCGACGAUCCCUAGCUGGUCUGAGAGGAUGACCGGCCACACGGGAACUAAGACACGGUCCAGACUCCUACGGGAGGCAGCGGUGGGGAAUAUUGCACAAGGAGAGCAAGCCUGAUGCGGCCAUGCCGCGUGUAUGAAGAAGGCCUUAGGGUUGUAAAGUACUUUCAGCGGGGAGGCGUUACCCGCAGAGGAAGCACCGGCUAACUCCGUGCCAGCCGCCGCGGUAAUAC